rnacentral:rRNA from 1 species
CCUACGAGAGGCAGCAGUGAGGAAUCUUGGUCAAUGGACGAGAGUCUGAACCAGCCAAGUAGCGUGAAGGAUGACUGCCCUAUGGGUUGUAAACUUCUUUUAUCUGGGAAUAAAACGUUCCACGUGUGGGAUUUUGUAUGUACCAUAUGAAUAAGGAUCGGCUAACUCCGUGCCCGCAGCCGCGGUAAUCCGGAGGAUCCGAGCGUUAUCCGGAUUUCUUGGGUUUAAAGGGAGCGUAGGUGGAUUGUUAAGUCAGUUGUGAAAGUUUUCGGCUCAACCGUAAAAUUGCAGUUGAAACUGGCAGUCUUGAGUACAGUAGAGGUGGGCGGAAUGCGUGGUGGAGCGGUGAAAUGCUUAGAUAUCACGAAGAACUCCGAUUGCGAAGGCAGUUCACUGGACUGCAACUGACACUGAGGCUCGAAAGUGUGGGUAUCAAACAGGAUUAGAUACCCGAGUAGUC